rnacentral:rRNA from 1 species
AGUGAACGCUGGCGGUAGGCCUAACACAUGCAAGUCGAACGGCAGCACAGUAAGAGCUUGCUCUUAUGGGUGGCGAGUGGCGGACGGGUGAGGAAUACAUCGGAAUCUACCUUUUCGUGGGGGAUAACGUAGGGAAACUUACGCUAAUACCGCAUACGACCUUCGGGUGAAAGCAGGGGACCUUCGGGCCUUGCGCGGAUAGAUGAGCCGAUGUCGGAUUAGCUAGUUGGCGGGGUAAAGGCCCACCAAGGCGACGAUCCGUAGCUGGUCUGAGAGGAUGAUCAGCCACACUGGAACUGAGACACGGUCCAGACUCCUACGGGAGGCAGC